rnacentral:rRNA from 1 species
CCUACGGGAGGCAGCAGUAAGGAAUAUUGGUCAAUGGGCGCAAGCCUGAACCAGCCAUGCCGCGUGCAGGAAGACGGCCCUAUGGGUUGUAAACUGCUUUUGAACAAGAGAAAACCUCGGUACGUGUACCGAGCUGAUAGUAUUGUUAGAAUAAGCAUCGGCUAACUUCGUGCCAGCAGCCGCGGUAAGACGAAGGAUGCAAGCGUUAUCCGGAUUCAUUGGGUUUAAAGGGUGCGUAGGCGGCCUGAUAAGUCAGUGGUGAAAUCUCUCAGCUUAACUGAGAAACUGCCAUUGAUACUGUCGGGCUUGAGUACAGAUGAUGUGGGCGGAAUAUGACAUGUAGUGGUGAAAUACUUAGAUAUGUCAUAGAACACCGAUUGCGAAGGCAGCUCACAAAACUGUAACUGACGCUGAGGCACGAAAGUGCGGGGAUCAAACAGGAUUAGAUACCCUGGUAGUCCGCACCGUAAACGAUGAUUACUCGUUGUUGGCAAUAUGACCGUCAGCGACCAAGCGAAAGCGAUAAGUAAUCCACCUGGGGAGUACGCCGGCAACGGUGAAACGUCAAAGGAAUUAGACGG